AUGGGGGCAACCCUGAUGCAGCCAUGCCGCGUGUGUGAAGAAGGCCUUCGGGUUGUAAAGCACUUUCAGUGGUGAGGAAAAGUUAGUAGUUAAUACCUGCUAGCCGUGACGUUAACCACAGAAGAAGCACCGGCUAACUCCGUGCCAGCAGCCGCGGUAAUACGGAGGGUGCGAGCGUUAAUCGGAAUUACUGGGCGUAAAGCGCACGCAGGCGGUUUGUUAAGCUAGAUGUGAAAGCCCCGCGCUUAACGUGGGAUGGUCAUUUAGAACUGGCAGACUAGAGUCUUGGAGAGGGGAGUGGAAUUUCUGGUGUAGCGGUGAAAUGCGUAGAGAUCAGAAGGAACAUCAAUGGCGAAGGCAGCUCUCUGGCCAAAGACUGACGCUCAUGUGCGAAAGUGUGGGUAGCGAACAGGAUUAGAUACCCUGGUAGUCCACACCGUAAACGCUGUCUACUAGCUGUAUGUGUAUUUAAUACGUGUGUAGCGAAGCUAACGCGCUAAGUAGACCGCCUG
rnacentral:rRNA from 1 species